CCGGUAAUAGUCUGAGACACACAGACACACACACACACACGCACACGCACACAAGAAAUCAUUGUUUUGUUUUGUUUGUUUUUGUUUGUAGGGAGGGAGAGAGAAGCAGUAGAUGAGAGAAAAGGAACUAUAACCAACCAAAAACUGUAUAUGUGUAUUUUAAAACCCCACUGAACGUCUUUCUUCCUGGACAGCCUGAAACUAACUAUAUAGACCAGGCUGGACUCAAACUCCACAAAAAUCGACUUGCCUCUCUGUUAAUGGCUUUCUCCACCUGACUGUCCCAGUGUUAUACUGAAUUUUAGUGUGAGGCAUAAGGAGAGAGUCACAUUGCAGAUGAAAUCACAUAACAAUACGGUUUCGUUUUGUCCUGUUUUUAGAACAUUUUGAGACAGGGUCUGUCACUUUGCAGGCCUGGCCAUCCUGGAACUCACUGUGUAGACCAGGCUGGCCUCAAACUCCCAGAAAUCCACUUGUGUCUGCUUCCCAAGUGCUGGGCUUAAAGCUGUGCCCCGCCAUGCUGGCCACUGAGAAGAUGUAUGUGCGCCACAUACAUGCAGCAGCCUGAGGCGCUCCGGAGAGGGCUUAUUGGGUGCCCAGGACCGGGAACCCAGACUUGGGUGACCCCACAUACCAAUGUCCCAACUCAGUGUCGGUUUCGUGAUGUUUCUGUAGAAGAGAACGCAGAAAACGACAGGUAAAUACAUCAAGAGCCUUUGAAAGUACAGCGGCGGAGACCCGCGGCAGGGGCAGGCAGGCAGGUUGGAGCGUCGCAGGGAGACCCCUGCGGUGGGGCUGGCUCCUGUGCUGCCCGACUCCUGUGCUCCGACUUGGAGAAGACGGGCGUCCGUUCGUCCAUACCCAAAAGAGUCGGCCACAAGGAUGUUGGCACCUGGGGGUGGGCCACGAGCGGCCAGUUAGGGGUAAGAGACGGUGCAAGGUGACUUGUCCCUGGUCCUUCACCGCUCCAGCACUGCGCCAGUGAGAAAGUCCAACAGGCCCCGGGAUCGGGCGGCGAAAGGAAGGGGCGUGAUGUCACUCCUGGGUGGCUGACGGGGCGGGGUGUAUGCAGAUGAGGGUCGCGCAGGGGCUGCGGCGUCCGCAGCGGCCGGGGAAACGCGAGAGAUUUCUCGCGCGGCGUGGGAGAGAACGCGGGUCGCCAGAUGUCAGCGGAGCGCCGAGACGGCGUGUGCGACGAGGGAGACCCGAGAUCGGGCGGGGCUAAGUGACCGCUCUAGCGCACGCCCCGGGUGACCAGCCCCUCGCGCGACCGUGCCCCGGAUCUACGCGGAGCCCUGCUGGGCGCUCGGGCCGCGACCCCGCCAGCGUGGGCCUCCCAUGGGCCCCCGAUCACCCGGUGGCGGCGGGACCCCAGCGUCUGGGAGACGCCGGCUACACCUUGCCACGAAUCCCGCGGUCCUCGCAGGUGUGGCCGCCGCGGUGACGCCUGCCUGAACAAGGAACCGGCGUGGCAGGCUCACCACCGUCUCUGUGGCGCAAUCGGUUAGCGCGUUCGGCUGUUAACCGAAAGGUUGGUGGUUCGAGCCCACCCAGGGACGACAGACAGUUAGGCCUCACCUAGGCUUUUAACAGCCUGCUUUGCUUAUUAAGCCGUUAAUCCUUUCAUCACUCCCGUAAACCCAGCAAGUUCACACGCCCAACACAGCCGUCAAAACCCCCAAAACACGCGGCAAACUCAAAA